GGCACACCCCCUCAAAAAAAAGAAGUCCUAGGAAAAUUCACUUUGUUUAGUGCUCUGAUGCUACUGUGAAUGGGGCAGAACAGUUCAGCCUUGAGGUUUAGGGUGUAGCAGUUGCUGUCUUGACUUCUUUCUGGUUGCAAGGUUUGCAAAAGGAACUGUAUGUAGUUGUCUCUGCUAGUUCAAUGUAAAACUGCUUUCUGGUUUGUCAUCUCUUUUAUUUUAUGUUUGCACAUUAAAAGAUUGACACGUGGAGUUCCCGUUGUGGCUUAGCGGUUAGUGAACCCAACUAGCAUCCGUGAGGCUGCAGGUUCGAUUCCUGGGGCCUCGCUCAGUGGGUUAAGGAUCCGGCAUUGCCGUGAGCUGUGGUGAAGGUCACAGACACGGCUCAGAUCCAGCAUUGCUGUGGUUGUGGUGUAGGCCGGUGGCUACAGUUCUGAUUGGACCCCCUAGCUUGGGAACCUCCAUGUGCCGAGGUGUGGCCCUAAAAAAGAGACACAAAGACCAAAAAAAGAAAAAAAAAGUUUGACGCAUGAAACAAGGCAGUUGAAGGUGAUCGCUCUCCACCUCUAGCCAUGGCGACCUCUCUUCCUCUGGGCAUUUCACUGUGUGCCCAGCGUCCUCCUGUGGGCUUUGUACUCACUUGUCAACUUAGGGCUCACACUGACCUUGUAAGGUGGGUGUUCUUCCCACUUUCCAGAUGAGGAAAAAGCUUGAAAAUAUUAGGUCACUUGGUCCAGUCUGUAUGGUGAAGAGGUGGCUGAGCCAGGAGUCACACGUGUGUCUGUCUGGUCACAGCCUUCAGCUGUGCUCUUCAGCUCUGCCCCAGUGAGAUGGGCAGAAUGAUUGCAGUCCCUUUGGGGAGCUAUAUCUCCCAGCUCUCGUCUCCUUUCAUGCCACCGAAAAGGUGGAUCUUGGAGUUGGCAGACCUUAGACAUGCCCUCGGCUAACCUCAUGCUCACUUAAGGAAAUCUUCCAGGGUGUGGCUAACUGAUUCCCUUCCAGCCUGUGUUGGACUCCCUGCAAAAGGAAGCUUGUCACUUUAUGCAGUGGUCCAUUUUCUUUUUUCUUUUUUCCCAAUUUUAUUGCGGUAUAACUGACAUAUAAUCUUUUUGGCUGUUCAUUAUGUUGCUGAACACCAGAAUUGAGAGAAAGUGGGUUUAUUUAUUUAUUUUUAUUUUUAUUUUUUUGCUUUUUAGGGCUGCACCAAGCUAGAGGUCUAAUCGAAGCUGUAGCCACCUGCCUACACCACAGCCACACAAUGCCAGAUCCACCGUGUCUGCAACCUACACCACAGCUCACGGCAACGCGGAUCCUUAACCCACUGACCGAGGCCAGGGAUUGAAUCUGCAACCCCAUGGUUCCUAGUCGGAUUCAUUAACCACUGAGCCACAACGGGAACUCCUCUUUGCUUUUAUAUCUUUUGCACCUUCAUAUUAGUGAAGGUAUAGAGGGGGGCCAGGGGCCAUUGUAACAAAGAAAACCAUCAAAAUACAGACGAUUAUUUGAAUACGAGAUAGAAGGCCGUUUCUUAUUCACCUAACAGCUCAGGAACAGGCAGGUGGUCCAGGGCAGGUAGGUGGCUGGGCUCCAUGACGACCUCAGACACUUGGGCUCCUACUGUCUUGUCGCAGGGCUAUGUUGAGCUGCAUGCAAGGCUGUGAAUUUAGUGUCUAGCUGAGCAGCCAAAACUGAGGAAGGAGGUUCUGGUAGUAAAAAGGAGAGGGAGAGGAUGGACAUUGGGAGACACGCAGGCCGACUCGCCCAGGCCUGUGCCCUGACUUCCUUUUCUCCUGCCGCAGGUGGGCUGUCUCCACACACUGGGGCACGUGGUAGCUGACAACUCCAGACCUGCAUCCUCCCAGCUUGGUGACCCUGAAAGAUAGGUUUCUCCCCUCCAGUUAGGAUUUGGAAAAUUCCAGAGAAAGAUUCUCCCCUGGUUUGUAAUGAGCGCACUGUGGCCAAGAGUGUGUGGCCCUGUGAUUAACCCAGUCUGGGUCAUGACCUUUCCUCCAUCCCUCCAUGGUAGAGAAACAGCAGAGCCCAUUUCCAGGUCAAGGGGCUAGAAAGACAAAAACAAUAGCCACAGCCACAGCAAUGCCAGAUCACAUGUUCCAAAUAGUGAACAUGUACUGUAAUUAUGGACUGUUUGCAACUGUGUUGACAGUUGUGUGUGUCCUAGGAAAAACCAGCUGGACUCUGUCUCCAUGGUGGCUCUCACACCAGGGACAGUCUGUCACCAGGCGGUUACUUUUAUGACCCCAGAGAAGAAAGUGUCUUUGUCCUCAGGAUACUCCUAGAAGAGCAGGCAGAUGAAAUGACCUUAGUUGAGGCUCCUUCCAUUUGGCUUAGGGCAGAAAGGGGAUUAUUGGCUUAUGUAGGUGAUCAUAAGGCCAAGCCUAGAUCUGGCUUCAGCAUCUGCCACCUACACUACAGCUCACGGCAACGCCAGAUCCUUAACCUGCUGAGUGAGGCCAGGGAUCGAACCUGCGUCCUCAUGGAUACUAGUCAGAUUCAUUUCCACUGAGCUGCGACAGGAACUCCGACUCUGCUCUCCUUUGAGCUGGCUUCAUUGUCAAGGCCUCACCAUGUGACCUGUAGCUCCAGUUAUUGGUAGAAAUAGCAUCCCU
rnacentral:lncRNA from 1 species